GAUGAACGCUGGCGGCGUGCCUAAUACAUGCAAGUCGAGCGAACGGACGAGAAGCUUGCUCCUCUGAUGUUAGCGGCGGACGGGUGAGUAACACGUGGAUAACCUACCUAUAAGACUGGGAUAACUUCGGGAAACCGGAGCUAAUACCGGAUGAUAUUUUGAACCGCAUGGUUCAAAAGUGAAAGACGGUUUUGCUGUCACUUAUAGAUGGAUCCGCGCUGCAUUAGCUAGUUGGUAAGGUAACGGCUUACCAAGGCAACGAUGCGUAGCUGACCUGAGAGGGUGAUCAGCCACACUGGAACUGAGACACGGUCCAGACUCCUACGGGAGGCAGCAGUAGGGAAUCUUCCGCAAUGGGCGAAAGCCUGACGGAGCAACGCCGCGUGAGUGAUGAAGGUCUUCGGAUCGUAAAACUCUGUUAUUAGGGAAGAACAUAUGUGUAAGUAACUGUGCACGUCUUGACGGUACCUAAUCAGAAAGCCACGGCUAACUACGUG
rnacentral:rRNA from 1 species